UACGUAGGGUGCGAGCAUUAAUCGGAAUUACUGGGCGUAAAGCGUGCGCAGGCGGCUUCGCAAGUCAGACGUGAAAUCCCCGGGCUUAACCUGGGAAUGGCGUUUGAAACUACGGAGCUGGAGUGUGGCAGAGGGAGGUAGAAUUCCACGUGUAGCGGUGAAAUGCGUAGAUAUGUGGAGGAAUACCGAUGGCGAAGGCAGCCUCCUGGGCCAACACUGACGCUCAUGCACGAAAGCGUGGGGAGCAAACAGG
rnacentral:rRNA from 1 species